rnacentral:rRNA from 1 species
UGGGGAAUAUUGCACAAUGGGCGCAAGCCUGAUGCAGCCAUGCCGCGUGUAUGAAGAAGGCCUUCGGGUUGUAAAGUACUUUCAGCGGGGAGGAAGUGAGUAAAGUUAAUACCUUUGCUCAUUGACGUUACCCGCAGAAGAAGCACCGGCUAACUCCGUGCCAGCAGCCGCGGUAAUACGGAGGGUGCAAGCGUUAAUCGGAAUUACUGGGCGUAAAGCGCACGCAGGCGGUUUGUUAAGUCAGAUGUGAAAUCCUCGGGCUCAACCUGGGAACUGCAUCUGAUACUGGCAAGCUGGAGUCUCGUAGAGGGGGGUAGAAUUCCAGGUGUAGCGGUGAAAUGCGUAGAGAUCUGGAGGAAUACCGGUGGCGAAGGCGGCCCCCUGGACGAAGACUGACGCUCAUGUGCGAAAGCGUGGGGAGCAAACAGG